rnacentral:ncRNA from 1 species
GAUUUUCAUACUAUAUAAAAUCAAAAAUAUACUGAAAAAUGAUGAAAAAAUUAGAUUUAUUUUCAUUUUUACUUGAUCCAAUAAACAAAGAAAACCACCAUUUUCAGAAAAAUAGUGGUUUCGUUU